GCGGCCGUCGCCCAGAGGUAGGGCACCCGGUUGUCUCCCGGGCCACGAGGGUUCGAGUCCCUUCGGUCGCG
rnacentral:tRNA from 1 species